GCCGCCGUCCCUGCCGCCGAGCUCGCUGGCUGGCCCGGUGCGGGCGCCGGGCUCCUGCCACAGGAGAGGACCACCAGCGCCACCACCACCACUUCGGCCCGGGCCCGGGCACCGGCCCCGCCCCGGGCCCCGGCCUGAGCCCCCCGCCCGGCCGGGCGAUGGAGUGUCACUACGAGGCGCUGGGGGUGCGGCGCGACGCCAGCGAGGAGGAGCUCAAGAAGGCCUAUCGGAAGCUGGCCCUGAAAUGGCACCCGGAUAAAAAUCUGGAUAAUGCCGCAGAAGCAGCUGAACAAUUUAAACUAAUCCAAGCAGCGUAUGAUGUGCUAAGCGACCCUCAGGAAAGAGCAUGGUAUGAUAAUCAUAGAGAGGCUCUGCUUAAAGGUGGGCUUGCUGGAGAGUAUCAAGAUGACAGCUUAGAUUUGCUUCACUAUUUCACUGUGACCUGUUACUCUGGUUAUGGAGAUGAUGAAAAGGGCUUUUAUACAGUGUAUCGUAAUGUUUUUGAAAUGAUUGCCAAGGAAGAACUAGAAUCUUCUUUAGAAGAGGAUGUUGAGGAUUUCCCAACUUUUGGAGACUCCCAGAGUGACUAUGAUACGGUAGUCCAUCCUUUCUACGCUUAUUGGCAGAGUUUCUGCACUCAGAAGAACUUUGCUUGGAAAGAAGAAUAUGAUACACGACAGGCUUCAAACCACUGGGAGAAACGAGCCAUGGAAAAAGAGAACAAAAAGAUUCGAGACAAAGCAAGGAAAGAGAAGAAUGAGCUUGUCCGUCAGCUCGUAGCUUUCAUCCGUAAAAGAGAUAGAAGAGUGCAGGCUCAUCGAAAACUUGUGGAAGAACAGAACGCAGAGAAGGCGAGGAAAGCCGAAGCAAUGAGGCGGCAGCAGAAGCUAAAGCAGGCCAAACUGGCAGAGCAGUACAAAGAGCAGAGCUGGAUGACGGUGGCCGAUUUGGAGAAGGAGCUCAGGGAGAUGGAGGCGCAGUAUGAAAAGGAGUUUGGAGAUGGAUCAGGUGAAGAUGAAGCGGAAGAACGGGAACUCCAAGACGGACAGGAUGGUAAAGAUGGUGACGAGGCUGAGGAUGCAGAACUUUAUGAUAGCCUUUACUGCCCAGCAUGUGACAAAUCUUUCAAGACGGAAAAGGCCAUGAGGAAUCAUGAAAAAUCAAAGAAGCAUCGGGAAAUGGUUGCCCUGUUAAAACAACAGUUGGAGGAGGAGGAAGCAAAUUUUUCAGGACCUCAAACUGAUGAAAACAGUCUGGAUGCCAAUUCUGAGGAAGAAACGGAGGAUGCACCAAAACAAAAACUUUCUAAAAAACAGAAGAAAAAGAAACAGAAACCAGCACAGAAUUAUGAUGAUAAUUUCAAUGAAAAUGGAACUGGAGAAGCAGUAAAGGUUGAUCCAGAAGAUAACAGCCUAAAUCAAGGCAGUGCCAAAGGAUUGGAAGAUAUUCCCCAGGAAAAUGUCAGUGUUACAGAGACUGUGGAACGGUGUGAUGACCCCAAAAGUGAAGCUAAAAGUGUUUCUAAACCCAAAGGAAAGAAAGCCAAAGAUACUAAAAAAUCUGUCAGAGUGCCUGCUGAACUACAGACAGUGAGUGAUGUUCUUAUCAGCUGUACAACCUGCCAUAGUGAAUUUCCAUCCCGGAAUAAACUUUUCGACCAUCUAAAGGCCACAGGUCAUGCAAGAGCACCUUCAUCAUCAUCUUUAAACAGUGUAACAGAUAGUCGAAGCAAAAAAGAGAAACGUAAAAACAGAUAGAAAUCCUGCCAAUGCUUUUUCUUUUUGAUUGUCUCUAGAUUUUGACACCAAAAACUGAACUGAAAUCAUCUAAAGAGUUAAAAUUUCAGUCAUCUGCAAUUUAUUGCAUUGUGGGAGAUUAUUUUUAUCUUGUAGAAACGUUUUUUUGUUUAAUACAUAUUUUUUAAACAUUUCAUUGGUGAUUGAAUUCUACUUUUGCCAUCUGAAUUGACUUGAAUGUCUCAGAACAGAAGACAGCUGGAUUCUGAUAGCUACUUCUUCAGUCAGUCUGUUGCUGUAUGUUUUGGUUAAAGUAUGUGAAGAAAAUUGAGCCUCAUGUGGAUAGGAAAUUGGAAAAAGAAGGACCUUGUGGAUCUCCCAGGGUCCUCAGACCACGCUCAGAACUGCUGCAUUAGAAAAAUGGAUUGGCAAAAGGCAAAAAGUCUCACAAGAUCAAGUGUUGGUGAGAAUGGAGAAAUGGGAACAAUUGCUUCAGUUUGAUGGUGGCUAUGAAAGUUGAAGACGUACCCCCUGACCUGACAACUCCAGGGGUAUACUAGAGUCUCACAGUGUCUGCAGAGGCACAGCAUGGGCUCUACCUGAGGACUGUCACGCAGGUCCCACUCCUGACCUGCUGGGUGAGAAUUUGCAAUUAACAAGACUUCUCAGGUGACUCGCAAGCUUCUUGCAUCUUGAGAAGCAGUGCUCUCAGGAAUCCAGGCGCAUGUGGCCAAGGAGACUUAGUGGCUGAUCACAGCUGAAUUGCUUGUAUCUGGGAAAAGUUGGAGAUGGACCCUAAAUCUCCGUGAACAAGAAAGUGGAUAAAUUGUAUAAUGGACAGUAAGAUGGCAAACAAGCAGUUCAAAUGAGUGAACUGGAUAUGUAAUACCAAUGGCUAGCCUUAAAAAAAUACUGAAUGAAAACAAGCUGUCAGAAGGUGACAUGUAUGCCACUUAUAUAUAGUUUUUUUAAAGUACUGUUGUUAUUUAUAGAGAGAAAAUAUAGAACCAUCAAUGGGAAACACAUCAUUCAGAAAAGUAGUUGCCUCUGGAAACGGAGGGAGAGGGGUGGAAUGGGGGCGUGGCAGCAAAGGGGCCUUAUCUGAGGCAAGACUUCUAAUUAAGAUCUGAAGGAAGAUGUUAGCAUUAAUUCUGGGUGGUGGGUAAUGAGGGUUUAUCACUCUACUAACAUGUUUUCAUGAAAUACUUCAAAUAUCCAGAGAAAUACAAAUUAAUGUUCCAUUUUUUGUUAAUAGAAAAUACACUUGCACGAAAGGGGAGAUAAAGGUUUUCAGGUCUACAUUUUAUUCCUAGCAUAUUCCAUUAGCUCACUGUGGCAGAGGCUGUUACUUGUUUCUCUCAAUAUUCAUUCUUCCCUUCUUCCUUAUAAUUCUGAUUUUUGAUUGGGCACAAAGCCACCUAAAAUUUUACCUUCCUAGCCUCCCUUGCAGCUAGGAGUCUGUAAGUUCUGGUCAGUGAUCUGAGCAACUUUGGGGACAUGUCCUGAAAGAUGUGUGGGAUGUCCUUAUUCCUUCCUCCGCCAGCUUCAGUGAACGGGUAGGUAAUGGUUGGCGCUCUACCCCUGUCUGGGACCAUGAAUCCUCACAGGGCAGAGAAACUGAAGCCCAGGAGCUUCCAUCCUUGACAUGUAGAGGGACCCUAUAAGCCCCAGACAACCUCCUUCUGCAUUCAAGAGAAAUAAAACUCCUGCAUUACUGAA